GCGUGAGUGAUGAAGGCCUUAGGGUUGUAAAGCUCUUUUACCCGGGAUGAUAAUGACAGUACCGGGAGAAUAAGCCCCGGCUAACUCCGUGCCAGCAGCCGCGGUAAUACGGAGGGGGCUAGCGUUGUUCGGAAUUACUGGGCGUAAAGCGCGCGUAGGCGGCUUUGCAAGUCAGAGGUGAAAGCCCGGGGCUCAACCCCGGAAUUGCCUUUGAGACUGCAUCGCUUGAACAUCGGAGAGGUAAGUGGAAUUCCGAGUGUAGAGGUGAAAUUCGU
rnacentral:rRNA from 1 species